GACUACUGCUUUGUUCCACUUAUACUUGUAUAUGACUCUUCGUUGACAUGUCAAAAUAAGCGCUGUACUGUUAUAUUGUUUGAGAAUUAAAAAAGUACAGUCCAGGCACCUUUUCUGCCAGGUGAGAUCGAGCUGGGCGUCUGAUAUGUCCUAACAUGUCCUAGAACUGUCUUUAUGUUGGUCGGAAAUCAAACAUCUUCCUACUGCUGAUACUGCAGCUUGCUGCAACUUGUGAUUGCGUGUUCAUUUCACACUCUUUCACAGUUAAUAACAUAAUUUAAUAAUAGGCCCCGCCCCCGACUGUACCGCCACCUUUAGUAACCAGCAGCUGGGUGGUCCCAUUAGUCACAUACUCAAGUUAUUGGAGAAAUGAGAAACACAGUCACUACAUUAUGAACACGUAUGAAUUCAGUCAUCUCCAUUUUCUGAACACUUUUUUUACAUUUAAUGAAACAGUUCAUGAACAACCCCUAACUUUUAUAAAGUGUCCUGUAUUUAAAGAACCAAGAUUCAUAAACGAACUUUUAUUUAGAACAUUUAAAUACAAAACCGAGUGUUACAUUCAAACCAGGACAGAUUCAAAAAUCAGAAAGUGAGUUGUCAUUUGUCCCUCUGCUGUGGUCUCUCUGUUGUUAAUGAAGACGUAUUAAUGACAUCAUCGAUAAAGAGAAUAAAACAGCAGCUUGGUGCUGAGAAACGCCCCCUGUCAGUGUUUCCUGUCCAGCAGGGAGGAGACUUUCUGCGCCUCCUUCAGCAGAGUAACGGAUCUGAGAGCUGUCGGUGGUUCCUGUGUCGGUGGUCCGGUGAGGAUCAGCUGUAACGGGACUGUUUAAAGAUGCUGAUGUUUCUGCUCCUCGUUUUCGUUUCCCAGCAUGCCUCAGGGCUGGAAGUAGAGCAGGGGGUUGAGUCUGUCCUGCUGCCCUGUCAGGUACCAGUUAAUGUUUCCAUGAGCUCCACAGCAGCAGUGUGGGACCAAGAGGAACUGACGAGGCCAAUGGUUCACGGACGUGUGAAGAGUGGUGAUGAUCUUUCUCUUCAAAAUGAUCGUUACACCAACCGAACAUCAAUGAGAGCCGACGCUCUGCAGACUGGAGACCUCAGCCUUACUCUGAGGAACCCCACAGUCUCUGACAGUGGAACCUACACCUGCACCGCCCGCAAACAAGGACAAGAGCUGAGCCGGACUGAAGUACAGCUGAAGGUCACAGAAGCUCCUCCAGUCUGGCCCAAAGUCCUCUCAGGUGUCCUGGGUACUCUUCUUCUCCUGACUCUUCUCUGUGGUCUCUGUGUGUAUUUUGAACAUAAAAGGAUGAAGCAGAGUGAAGUUCCUCAAAGAGAGUUUGUGGAGGUGACACAGGGGGUGAAGUCUGUCCUGCUGCCCUUUAAAACUACACCUGACCUUUCUGAGGACGUCACAGUGGAGUGGACUCUCACUCAACCCAAACUCAUGACAGUCCACGUGUAUGAGAGUGGAAACAAUCAGCCACAUAAACAAGACCAGGGCUACAGAGGUCGCACAGAGAUGAAGGAAGAUCCACUGAGAACUGGAGACUUCAGUCUGACCCUGAAAGACUUCUACCUCACUGACAGUGGAGUCUACACCUGCACCGUCUACAACAAGGAUGGGAACGUGCUGCUACAGAAAUCAGUGACUCUCGCUGUCAGAGAUGUUGGGAUGCAGAUGGUGGUUACACAAGGGCUAAAGUUUGUAAUGCUGCCCUUCAAAAUACCACGUGACCUUCCUCAGGGCACCACAGUGGAGUGGAGACACAACAGUGUGAAAGUCUACAAGUGCAUAGCUAUAAAUUUUGGCACACAGCACCAGCCUCGCAGAGAUCGUGCAGAGAUGGAUGGACAUCCACUGACAACUGGAGACUUCAGUCUGACCCUUAGAGACCCCCACCUCACUGACAGUGGAGUCUACACCUGCACCGUCAACAACACAUACAGAGACAUCCUGCUACAGAAAGUGGUGACUCUCAGUGUCAGAGAUAACGAAGUGGGCGUGUUGGAGGUGACACAAGGGGAGAGGUCUGUGCUGCUGCCCUUUCAAACCACAGCUGACCUUCGUCAGGGCGUCACAGUGGAGUGGACACGCUCAGACUCCAAACACACCAAAGUCUGUAUGUUUCAGAAAAGCCAAAGCCAGGCAGACAAACAGCACCAGGGUUACAGAGGUCGCGCAGAGAUGGAUGAAGAUCCACUGAGAACUGGAGACCUCAGUCUGACCCUGAAAGACCUCCACCCUACUGACAGUGGAGUCUACACCUGCACCGUCUACAACAAGGAUGGACACAUGCUGCUACAGAGAGUAGUGACUCUCAGUGUCAGAGGUGAGUGA
rnacentral:lncRNA from 1 species